rnacentral:rRNA from 1 species
UACGGGGGGGGCAAGCGUUGUUCGGAAUUACUGGGCGUAAAGGGUGCGUAGGAGGGCAGGUAAGUCAGUGGUGAAAUCUUCGAGCUUAACUCGGAAACUGCCGUUGAUACUAUCUGUCUUGAAUACCGUGGAGGUGAGCGGAAUAUGUCAUGUAGCGGUGAAAUGCUUAGAUAUGACAUAGAACACCAAUUGCGAAGGCAGCUCGCUACACGAAUAUUGACUCUGAGGCACGAAAGCGUGGGGAUCAAACAGG